rnacentral:rRNA from 1 species
GAUGAACGCUAGCGACAGGCCUAACACGUGCAAGUCGAGGGGUAUGGUAGCAAUACCAGAGACCGGCGCACGGGUGAGUAACGCGUAUGCAACCUACCUGUUACAGGGGGAUAGCUUCCGGAAACGGAAAUUAAGACCGCAUAAGACAACAAUACAGCAUGGAAUAGUGGUUAAAUCUUUAUAGGUAACAGAUGGGCAUGCGUGGCAUUAGGUAGUUGGCGGGGUAACGGCCCACCAAGCCUGCGAUGCCUAGGGGUUCUGAGAGGAAGGCCCCCCACACUGGUACUGAGACACGGACCAGACUCCUACGGUAGGCAGCAGUGAGGAAUAUUGGUCAAUGGGCGCAAGCCUGAACCAGCCAUGUCGCGUGCAGGACGACGGCCCUACGGGUUGUAAACUGCUUUUGUACGGGAAGAAAAAAGACCACGUGUGGUCUCUUGCCGGUACCGUACGAAUAAGGAUCGGCUAACUCCGUGCCAGCCGCCGCGGUAAGAC